GACGAACGCUGGCGGCGUGCUUAACACAUGCAAGUCGAACGGAAAGGCCCUGCUUUUGUGGGGUGCUCGAGUGGCGAACGGGUGAGUAACACGUGGGUAACCUGCCCUUGUCUUUGGGAUAACUUUAGGAAACUGGGGCUAAUACCGGAUAGGAGCUCCUGCUGCAUGGUGGGGGUUGGAAAGAUUCGGCGGUUUGGGCUGGACUAGCGGCUUAUCCGCUUGUUGGUGGGGUAGUGGCUUACCAAGGCUUUGACGGGUAGCCGGCCUGAGAGGGUGACCGGCCACAUUGGGACUGAGAUACGGCCCAGACUCCUAUGGGAGGCAGCAGUGGGGAAUAUUGCACAAUGGGCGGAAGCCUGAUGCAGCAACGCCGCGUGCGGGAUGCCGGCCUUCGGGUUGUAAACCGCUUUCGCCUGUGACGAAGCGUGAGUGACGGUAAUGGGUAAAGAAGCACCGGCUAACUACGUG
rnacentral:rRNA from 1 species